UACAGAGGGUGCAAGCGUUAUUCGGAAUUACUGGGCGUAAAGCGUGCGUAGGUGGACAUCUAAGUCGAUUGUGAAAUCCCCGGGCUUAACCUGGGAACUGCAGUCGAGACUGGACGUCUAGAGUAUGGUAGAGGAAAGUAGAAUUCCCGGUGUAGCGGUGAAAUACGUAGAUAUCGGGAGGAAUACCAGUGGCGAAGGCGGCUUUCUGGACUAAUACUGACACUGAGGUACGAAAGCGUGGGGAGCAAACAGG
rnacentral:rRNA from 1 species